rnacentral:tRNA from 1 species
ACUUUUUUAGUAUAACAGUACAAGUGGCUUCCAACCACUCAGCUCUGGUUAAACCCAGAAAAAAGUA